rnacentral:rRNA from 1 species
AGUGAACGCUGGCGGCGUGCUUAACACAUGCAAGUCGAACGAGAACGGAUUAUAGCUUGCUAUAAUUGUCAGCUAAGUGGCGCACGGGUGAGUAAUGUAUAGGUAAUAUGCCUCUUACUAAGGGAUAACAAAUGGAAACGUUUGCUAAUACCUUAUACUCCUUAUUAACAGAAGUUAAUAAGGGAAAGAUUUAUUGGUAAGAGAUUAGCCUGUAUUGUAUCAGUUAGUUGGUGGGGUAAUGGCUUACCAAGACUAUGACACAUAACUGGUUUGAGAGGAUGAUCAGUCACACUGGAACUGAGACACGGUCCAGACUCCUACGGGAGGCAGCAGUGGGGAAUAUUGCACAAUGGACGAAAGUCUGAUGCAGCAACGCCGCGUGGAGGAUGACACAUUUCGGUGCGUAAACUCCUUUUAUAUGAGAAGAUAAUGACGGUAUUAUAUGAAUAAGCACCGGCUAACUCCGUGCCAGCCGCCGCAGUAA